GACGAACGCUGGCGGCAGGCUUCACACAUGCAAGUCGAGCGCCCCGCAAGGGGAGCGGCAGACGUGUGAGUAACGCGUGGGAAUCUACCCAUCUCUACGGAAUAACGCAUGGAAACGUGUGCUAAUACCGUAUACGUCCUUCGGGAGAAAGAUUUAUCGGAGAUGGAUGAGCCCGCGUUGGAUUAGCUAGUUGGUGGGGUAAAGGCCUACCAAGGCUACGAACCAUAGCUGAUCUGAGAGGAUGAUCAGCCACACUGGGGCUGGAACACGGCCCGGACUCCUACGGGAGGCAGCAGUGGGGAAUAGUGGACAAUGGUCGCAAGCCUGGUCCAGCCAUGCCGCGUGAGUGAUGAAGGCCCGAGGGUCGUAAAGCUCUUUCACCGGUGAAGAUAAUGACGGUAACCGGAGAAGAAGCCCCGGCUAACUUCGUGCCAGCCGCCGCGGUAACAC
rnacentral:rRNA from 1 species